UAGGGAAUCUUCGGCAAUGGACGAAAGUCUGACCGAGCAACGCCGCGUGAGUGAAGAAGGUUUUCGGAUCGUAAAACUCUGUUGUUAGAGAAGAACAAGGACGUUAGUAACUGAACGUCCCCUGACGGUAUCUAACCAGAAAGCCACGGCUAACUACGUGCCAGCAGCCGCGGUAAUACGUAGGUGGCAAGCUUUGUCCGGAUUUAUUGGGCGUAAAGCGAGCGCAGGCGGUUUCUUAAGUCUGAUGUGAAAGCCCCCGGCUCAACCGGGGAGGGUCAUUGGAAACUGGGAGACUGGAGUGCAGAAGAGGAGAGUGGAAUUCCAUGUGUAGCUGUGAAAUGCGUAGAUAUAUGGAGGAACACCAGUGGCGAAGGUGUCUCUCUGGUCUGUAACUGACGCUGAGGCUCGAAAGCGUGGGUAGCAAACGGG
rnacentral:rRNA from 1 species